rnacentral:rRNA from 1 species
AGUCAUAUGCUUGUCUCAAAGAUUAAGCCAUGCAUGUCUCAGUACAAGCCAAAUUAAGGUGAAACCGCGAAAGGCUCAUUAAAUCAGUUAUGGUUCCUUAGAUCGUACCCACAUUUACUUGGAUAACUGUGGUAAUUCUAGAGCUAAUACAUGCAAAUAGAGCCCCGACCGGAGACGGAAGGGGUGCUUUUAUUAGAUCAAAACCAAUCGGCGGCGGGUCAAACCGUUGUCGUAAUAUUUGGUGACUCUGAAUAACUUUAUGCUGAUCGCACGGUCUAGCACCGGCGACGCAUCUUUCAAAUGUCUGCCUUAUCAACUGUCGAUGGUAGGUUCUGCGCCUACCAUGGUUGUAACGGGUAACGGGGAAUCAGGGUUCGAUUCCGGAGAGGGAGCCUGAGAAACGGCUACCACAUCCAAGGAAGGCAGCAGGCGCGCAAAUUACCCACUCCCGGCACGGGGAGGUAGUGACGAAAAAUAACGAUACGGGACUCAUCCGAGGCCCCGUAAUCGGAAUGAGUACAUUUUAAAUACUUUAACAAAGGUCAAUUGGAGGGCAAGUCUGGUGCCAGCAGCCGCGGUAAUUCCAGCUCCAAUAGCGUAU